AGUCAGUGGAUUAAUCUGAGAAAAUCCGGGGCAGUUUGACAUUGAAAAUAUUGACUGAACUUGUCAGAGAAGUCAAUUUAAAAGUGAGAGGUGAUUUAUAUCUACAAGUGAGGACCUGACAUCUUGGUGUCCCACUUAUUUUACUGUAAGUCUAGUGUCAACUAAUUUAUUUAACUAUAUUUGGGGUAAACAUUUUAUAUCACUAUAAUAAGAUCUUGAAGAGAUAGUGUUUUGUUUUGUUUUCUUUUCUUUUCCAGUAACAUGGAGUAGCUGGUUACAGACCAAACCUUCCCUUGAGAAUGUGACAUGCUGGACAAUAUAUAAAGCCAUCAAUCUGAAGGCAAUGGGGAAUUCUGAAGCCACAAGGUCCUCAAACUUACUGUGGAUCUAAGGUCACCACCCCUUCAUCCAUAGAUCCACAGACUGCCUCAGCCUCUGCCCAGACUAUUCCAAGACAGGCUGCAUUCAAGCAGUGAGCUGCGUCUCUUUGUGAAGCUGUGGUCAUCUGCGAUAUUGCACUCGUUUGUAUUUGCCCUUCCUUCUUUUUUGCCCAACUUUCUUUUCCCUUUACUUUGGUGUCUCAGAGUUAUACCUCCCAUUUUUUUCUAGGGAACUUAGGCUAAGACAGAAUGAAAGUACAGAGAAGUGAGCCCAAUUUAGCUCUGUAGACAUUUGUCUAUGUGUAAGCAGAAAGCAAGAGGCUGAGAUGCUGAGCAGAGUUUCCAACAGUCUUACAGUGUUGGUAAGAAAAAAAUGGACUUAAGGACCAAGGAGGAGAGGCCCAGGCAAACACUCCAGUUCUAGCUUGUAACUCCAGAAGGGACAGACAUUACCUCAAAAAUAAUGAAGCUGGAAUUAAAUCAACUAAAUCUUUGAUGGAAUGAAAAUUAAUCUGUCUCUUACCCAACUGCCAAACAAAAAUAAAUUCUCUCUGAAAGAUG